AUUACCCUGCUGUGUUCGUGUUUGGAUACAACGAUUUGCAGCCAACACUUCUGAACUUGGUGCAUGUUGUCGAAAUUGGUGGUGAGCAUGUCUGUGUUGCUUUUUAGUUUCAGCAGAAAGCCUAAAGCCAACGCUUUGCGCCAACCCUGUUUUUUAUAAACAGGCUCAAAUUGUUCUGCCACACGGCAUAUGCGGGGGAUUU
rnacentral:other from 1 species